rnacentral:rRNA from 1 species
GAUGAACGCUAGCGACAGGCCUAACACAUGCAAGUCGAGGGGCAGCACAUGCGUAGCAAUACAAUGGUGGCGACCGGCGCACGGGUGAGUAACACGUAUGCAACCUACCUGUAAGAGGGGAAUAACCCGGAGAAAUUCGGACUAACACCGCAUAAUACCUCGAAGCUGCAUGGCUUUGAGGUUAAAUAUUUAUAGCUUACAGAUGGGCAUGCGUAACAUUAGAUAGUUGGUGAGGUAACGGCUCACCGAGUCAACGAUGUUUAGGGGUUCUGGGAGGAAGGUCCCCCACACUGGUACUGAGACACGGGCCAGACUCCUACGGGAGGCAGCAGUGAGGAAUAUUGGCCAAUGGGCGCAAGCCUGACCCAGCCAUGCCGCGUGCAGGAUGAAGGCGCUAUGCGUUGUAAACUGCUUUUGUACAGGAAGAACCCCAUCUACGUGUAGGUGGUUGACGGUACUGUCAGAAUAAGCAUCGGCUAACUCCGUGCCAGCAGCCGCCGUAAGAC